UCCAGAGAGAUAAUGAAUUACUUAGCCAAAUGGGGUUUAUGGUAAUUUGUUUUACAUAGUUCUGGUUUCAGAUAGUUCAAGAAGUUGUAUUUAGCUGCAGGUCAUUGCAAAAGGGAAGGCAUUUCUCUUAGUGGAACAUGGAAAUUAAAAGAAUGUGCUUAUACUUAGUGAAAUUUGAGAAUUAGAACAAUUUCCAUGCCUUCACCUGAUCUUCAUCUCAUACCUUCAGAGAGGGAAAAGUACUUCUGCAACCCCAAAGAAGAGACGUGUGCGCUCAUUGUAAGAAGAAUGCAUUUGUGUCGUAGUUGAACUUGGAAUACAAUAGAAUGCACUUUUAUCUAGUAAAAUUUGAAAAUUAGAACAGUUUCUGUGUCUCCACCUGAGAACUUACGAGGAGAGAAAAUCUGGUUAAGUGAAGAACAGAAAUGCAUAUUCAUGCUGCUGUGAGUAUAGUGCUGCAGAGAAAACCACAGGUAUAAAUCUGGACAGUUCCUUUAUGGAAAUUGUGUCAAACAUAAAUGAUAUGCCCCAAGACUGAGACCCCCAUUCUCUGAGGCCAAAAAUGAACACUCGGACAACACCAUGAGGUCCUGCUGUCAAGAUGGAGGCAAGAAUGGAUGAGCAUGCAGAACUCUGGGAUGACCUUGUAUGAAAUAUUAACAGGGUGGGAAGAUAGUUGCAUGUAUGAGAAAGUGCAUCAUAGAGCUACUGACAGGAUCCAUGCAGAGGAGAUGUGCAGCUGAAGUGGCACAUGAUCGUGAGGUCACUAGUGGUGGGCCUACAGCAGAAGAACCUCUUAGCACCAUUGAAGAAUUCUUGGUAAAUAUUGCCACUCAGGAAAGCUCCGAGCAGUCCAACACCCAAUAUCUCCUUGACGUGGUUGCCACUCCUACUACUCAAGAUAAGUGUCCAGGGACUGUGUGAUACCUACUGCAUAGAGCCAGAUACAGAUACUAUUGACUGACUGACCACUUGGAAUCAGCUGGUAUGCAGACAUAGGAAAUCAUACCCAAAUAAUAGGUGCAAGCUCUAGGAAAAAGAGGGAUAAAGCACUGGCUUUGACCCAGAUGACCAAAGACUAACCACUAACAUGUGACAAGCUGGAAGAAUCAGCAGGGGUACGUGGGAGUGAACAACUGAUACUGUCUCACUCAUCCUGGUGAGAGGGAGGCAGUCUGGUCCACUACAAUGCAGAUGCUCAACAGUGACUUGCUGUCAAAGAAAAAGGCAGACUGAAGGAAUGAAAUGUGCAUGCUCACCAAGCAAUAUACACCAUAACCAAUUAUUAGAUUUGUGUGUAAGAACACGCAUGCAUCAGCAGGCCUGGCAUUGUAAGCAUCGUCAGGUCAGGCUAUCACAGGGUAAUGGGAUUCGUCUAUCAAUAACCCUAUGAUAGUUUC